rnacentral:rRNA from 1 species
GGAAUAUUGGACAAUGGGCGAAAGCCUGAUCCAGCAAUGCCGCGUGAGUGAUGAAGGCCUUAGGGUUGUAAAGCUCUUUUACCAGGGAUGAUAAUGACAGUACCUGGAGAAUAAGCUCCGGCUAACUCCGUGCCAGCAGCCGCGGUAAUACGGAGGGAGCUAGCGUUGUUCGGAAUUACUGGGCGUAAAGCGUACGUAGGCGGUUAUUCAAGUCAGAGGUGAAAGCCUGGAGCUCAACUCCAGAACUGCCUUUGAAACUAGAUAGCUAGAAUCUUGGAGAGGUGAGUGGAAUUCCGAGUGUAGAGGUGAAAUUCGUAGAUAUUCGGAAGAACACCAGUGGCGAAGGCGACUCACUGGACAAGUAUUGACGCUGAGGUACGAAAGCGUGGGGAGCAAACAGGAUUAGAUACCCUGGUAGUCCACGCCGUAAACGAUGAUAACUAGCUGUUCGGGCUCUACGAGCUUGAGUGGCACAGCUAACGCAUUAAGUUAUCCGCCUGGGGAGUACGGUCGCAAGAUUAAAACUCAAAGGAAUUGACGG